UACGUAGGGUGCAAGCGUUAAUCGGAAUUACUGGGCGUAAAGCGUGCGCAGGCGGUUAUGCAAGACAGAUGUGAAAUCCCCGGGCUUAACCUGGGAACUGCAUUUGUGACUGCAUAGCUGGAGUACGGCAGAGGGGGAUGGAAUUCCGCGUGUAGCAGUGAAAUGCGUAGAUAUGACUUAGAACACCGAUUGUGAAGGCAGCUUGCUAAACAAAUAUUGACGCUGAG
rnacentral:rRNA from 1 species